rnacentral:tRNA from 1 species
GGGCCAGUGGCGCAAUGGAUACUUAGCGUCUGACUACGGAUCAGAAGAUUCUAGGUUCGACUCCUGGCUGGCUCG